rnacentral:misc_RNA from 1 species
GAUGAAGAACGCAGCGAAAUGCGAUAAGUAAUGUGAAUUGCAGAAUUCAGUGAAUCAUCGAAUCUUUGAACGCACAUUGCGCCCCCUGGUAUUCCGGGGGGCAUGCCUGUUCGAGCGUCAUUUCACCACUCAAGCCUCGCUUGGUAUUGGGCAUCGCGGUCCGCCGCGCACCUCAAAUCGACCGGCUGGGUCUUCUGUCCCCUAAGCGUUGUGGAAACUAUUCGCUAAAGGGUGUUCGGGAGGCUACGCCGUAAAACAACCCCAUUUCUAAGGUUGACCUCGGAUCAGGUAGGGAUACCCGCUGAACUUAAGCAUAUCAAUAAGCGGAGGA